rnacentral:lncRNA from 1 species
AGAGGGUGGAGCUUUGGAGUGAGACCCAGGACGCCAAAUCCCAAAGAGAAAAAUAGGAGCCUAAAUAAGGAUCAGGACCAAGGGAAGGGAGUGAGGCUCAGUGUCAUCAAGGAACAGCCAAUCCAAUGAGAUUGACAUGAGAAAUGAUACAUAUUCAGCAGAAGAUCAGACCCUAAAAGCAUGACAAUUGCAGUUAUCUUCUCUGGCAAGAGAAGAGUGUGAAGAUACUCCUAAAUAGCCACAUAUGGAUUAAUUUUAUUUUAGAAUCGUGAAAAAUGGAAGACAGUAGCACAGACACAGAAAAAGAAGAGGAAGAGGAGAAAGAUGAAAAGGAUCAAGAGCCCAUUUAUGCCAUAGUGCCCACAAUUAACAUUCAAGAUGAGCGGUUUGUUGAUUUAUCUGAAACUCCAGCUUUCAUUUUUCUGCAUGAGUGGCUGAACUAAACUAAAGAGCCUCUUCACAGCAAAAGAAACCAUCAACAGAGUAAACAGACAAUCUACAGAAUGGGAGAAAAUAUUUGCAAACUGCAUCUGAGAAAGGUCUGAUAUCCGGAAUCUAUAAGGAACUUAGACAAAUCAACAAGCAAAAAACAAAUAACCCCAUUUUAAAAAUAGGCAAAGGACAUGAACAGACGUUUCUCAAAAGAAGACAUACAUGUGGCCAACAAAAGUAGGAAAAAGUGCUCAGCAUCACUAAUUAUCAGAGAAAUACAAGUCAAAACCACAAUGAGAUAUUAUCUCCCACCAGUCAGAAUGACUAUUAUUAAAAAGUCAAAAACAAUGGAUGCUGGCAAAGGUAUGGAGAAAAAGAAAUGCUUAUCUUUGUAUUUUUAAAACCAUGAUUUCCUUCCUCUAAUCUUAAAUUUUAAGUGAAGAGUUCACAUUUCUGUCAAAAUCCAUCAUAUGUCGAACUUUGCAAUAGAAUUUCUACUUCUCCACCACUACCCUUAAUAAUCAAAUCAAAAAUAAGGCUAAACUUGUGUCAUACAUUUGUUUGAUAUAGUAGCUACCAAAGACGUUGACUCAACAUACACUUAUGAUGUAAGGUCAUGCAUUUUUAGGUCUGACAUAAGUUGUUUGAAACCCAAUCAUACCUGAUCUUUGUACUAGUUAAAAUAACUCCUCCCCGUGUGGUGGAGAUAUAGCCCACUUGUUUCUCAUCCUGCUAAUCCCAAACCCAAAACACCCCACAGCUGCUAACCGUGAUAAAACCUAAUGAUCAACACCAGAGUCAUAUAAAUAAGUUUCCCCCUUCUGGCGUGUUUUCCUUAAACCAGCCAAUCCACAACUCCUGUUAGAAGACCGGAGGGAUAAUACCCAUAUACCUUAAUAAAGGUGAACUCCCACAGCUGCUCUCUCACUCCCUACCCACUGCUGAGCUCCCUGCCACCUCCAGACUUAUCUGCGCUCCCCAUCAGCACCCCUAAGCUGUCA